rnacentral:rRNA from 1 species
AUUGAACGCUGGCGGCAGGCCUAACACAUGCAAGUCGAGCGGAUGAAGGGAGCUUGCUCCUGGAUUCAGCGGCGGACGGGUGAGUAAUGCCUAGGAAUCUGCCUGGUAGUGGGGGAUAACGUCCGGAAACGGGCGCUAAUACCGCAUACGUCCUGAGGGAGAAAGUGGGGGAUCUUCGGACCUCACGCUAUCAGAUGAGCCUAGGUCGGAUUAGCUAGUUGGUGGGGUAAAGGCCUACCAAGGCGACGAUCCGUAACUGGUCUGAGAGGAUGAUCAGUCACACAGGAACUGAGACACGGUCCAGACUCCUACGGGAGGCAGCAGUGGGGAAUAUUGGACAAUGGGCGAAAGCCUGAUCCAGCCAUGCCGCGUGUGUGAAGAAGGUCUUCGGAUUGUAAAGCACUUUAAGUUGGGAGGAAGGGCAGUAAGUUAAUACCCUGCUGUUUUGACGUUACCAACAGAAUAAGCACCGGCUAACUUCGUG